rnacentral:rRNA from 1 species
GACGAACGCUGGCGGCGUGCUUAACACAUGCAAGUCGAACGGAAAGGCCCUGCUUUUGUGGGGUGCUCGAGUGGCGAACGGGUGAGUAACACGUGAGUAACCUGCCCUUGACUUUGGGAUAACUUCAGGAAACUGGGGCUAAUACCGGAUAGGAGCUCCUGCUGCAUGGUGGGGGUUGGAAAGUUUCGGCGGUUGGGGAUGGACUCGCGGCUUAUCAGCUUGUUGGUGGGGUAGUGGCUUACCAAGGCUUUGACGGGUAGCCGGCCUGAGAGUGUGACCGGCCACAUGGGGACUGAGAUACGGCCCAGACUCCUACGGGAGGCAGCGGUGGGGAAUAUUGCACAAUGGAAGGAAGCCUGGUGCAGCAACGGCGCGUGCGGGAUGACGGCCUUCGGGUUGUAAACCGCUUUCGCCUGUGACGAAGCGUGGGUGACGGUAAUGGGUAAAGAAGCACCGGCUAAGUACGUG